UGGGGAAUUUUGGACAAUGGGGGAAACCCUGAUCCAGCCAUCCCGCGUGUGCGAUGAAGGCCUUCGGGUUGUAAAGCACUUUUGGCAGGAAAGAAACGUCAUGGGUUAAUACCCCGUGAAACUGACGGUACCUGCAGAAUAAGCACCGGCUAACUACGUGCCAGCAGCCGUGGUAAUACGUAGGGUGCAAGCGUUAAUCGGAAUUACUGGGCGUAAAGCGUGCGCAGGCGGUUCGGAAAGAAAGAUGUGAAAUCCCAGAGCUCAACUUUGGAACUGCAUUUUUAACUACCGGGCUAGAGUGUGUCAGAGGGAGGUGGAAUUCCGCGUGUGGCAGUGAAAUGCGUAGAUAUGCGGAGGAACACCGAUGGCGAAGGCAGCCUCCUGGGAUAACACUGACGCUCAUGCACGAAAGCGUGGGGAGCAAACAGG
rnacentral:rRNA from 1 species